rnacentral:pre_miRNA from 12 species
CACAUACUCCCUCCGUCCGGAAAUACUUGUCAUCAAAAUGGAUAAAAGGGGAUGUAUCUAGACAUAUUUUAGUUCUAGAUACAUCUCUUUUUAGUCACUUUGAUGACAAGUAUUUUCGGACGGAGGGAGUA